GUACAUUCUCAUCAAUAUUUAACGAGAUGCUUACCUUGUACAAUUUUGUUUUGAUGCAGUUUUCUGUAUACAAUAAUCUUUGAGAGGCAUAGCAAUGGAACAACUGUUAUUGGAAAGUUAUAUCAAUUAGAUUCGCCAAAUGAGACGAACACCAAAUGGCUGAAAGCAUCAAUUUAAAAAAAAAUGAAAGAUUUCAUGACAUCACCUAUGGGUUUUUCCUAAUGGAAUUGCAUAUCCUGAAAAAACUGAUUGAGGAAACUUUUAAAAAUAUCCAGAUGUCAGCCACCCUUCAGAGAAAAUGACAAAAAAGUUUGAAUCCUUUGAACAAACUUAUCCUUACAUAAAUAUCUCAAAUGGAGGAUAACGUGCCUCUAUAGUCAGCCUUCUGAAGCUUAUCCUUAGCCUCAACUGUGCAUCAAAAAAGUCACGUGCUUAUCUGAUACAUUCGAUUUCGUUCCAACAAGGUUUAUAUUACAUACUUUUUGGUUCGAGAAGUGGGUAUAGGACAGGUAGGACAUGUCCUACCGACGAAAAAUACCAGGAAGGACACUAUAUGUAUUGUUCAACCCAUGAUUUUUAGAGAAACACAAAGAAAUAUAAAAUAUUCUACAAAAUAUUCUCUCUUAGAAUCAAGAGUUUGGGAUAAAACUUUGGUAUUGAACUAUUUUCAUAGGAAAGAAAUCUGCUUACUUCAUGUAGAUAUCUAUUCUAACAAGUUCGUUUUUGAUUCAACCAUAAAUUCAUUACAGAAAUUUUCUAAUGGCUCUGCAAAGUAUAACUCAAAGCAUUUAGUAUUGGGUAAUUUCUACAAAUAUUUCUUUGCAGGUAAUUCUGCAGAGGAUAUUCAUGAAAUAUUUGUCCGGGAAUAGCGUAGAGAACUUCAUUGGUAUAGUAUUCCUGGAAGUCCUUGCACGGUUUCCACAAAAAUUUUCUAAUGAUAUUUCCUGUCUGGAGUUCUCUAAUGACUUCUUUUGGAAUUAUAAAAAAAAACAAAUAGGAGAUAUUAACAAGAAUUCAAGAAGACGACUUGAAAUUCAAUUUAGAUUCCAUAAAAAAUACUGUCUAAUAUUUCACUAUAGGGGUAGGCGGGGCAAUAUGAACACCCUAAGGUUUUUGCCAACUUUACCUGGCAAGAUGUCAAAAAAGUUUAGUUUUUUGAUACAUGUAUCCUUUUAAAGUCUAUUUAGCAUCUAUUGCAUAUGAAUUCUCACGAAGAAAAAUGAUUUAUCCACUUAAAAAAAUGUUUUGAAAAAUGUUAGUUUUUCAUGACCGUCUUCAAACAUACGGGGCAGAAUGGACACCCCCAUGGGGCAAUAUGGACACCAUGAGACCUUUACGAAUUUCGUACAUUAUUUACACCUAUGAAGUCAUUUCAUUACAAAACAACUAUUAUGGAUGAAUAAUGCGCCGAAUUAGUUCAUUUUUGUUCAGUUAAUUUAAAUUCAGGCUGUUUUGGAUGAAGCUUCGUUUUUGUCGGCAUGUAAGCUGUGCCUAGAACAACUAAUUUCCACUUCUGUCGUUUUUUAACCAAUUUGUUUCACCCUAUGUCUACUAUAGUGAACAUUUAACCGAAAAUAUACUGAAAUCGAAGAAUUUGAUUGGUUUGUGAUUUAGGUUAUAUUUUUCCCUUGCCGCUUCUUUCAAAAAGGUGAGUGUCCAUUUUGCCCCGGCAGCAGAAGAUAUUUCCAAACUUGAUUUUUGAUAUAAUAAAGAAGAAAAUAUAAACAUGUUAAGCAUGUAGAUAUAGCAAAACUAUUUGCAUGUGCUCUAGAAAUAUCAGGUUUUAAUCGACCUGCAAUAAAUUAAUCACUAAAUCUUA